rnacentral:rRNA from 1 species
CGCCUCUUGAUUGAACCAUGAGAGGUCCAGCCUGCCCAGUGACUUUGUUCAACGGCCGCGGUAUCCUAACCGUGCGAAGGUAGCGUAAUCACUUGUCCUUUAAAUAAGGACUAGUAUGAAUGGCCUCACGAAAGCUAUACUGUCUCCUUUUUCUAAUCAGUUAAACUAAUCUUCCCGUGAAGAAGCGGGAAUAAGCAUACAAGACGAGAAGACCCUAUGGAGCUUUAAACAACUGAAACACUUGCAUUUUUAUUUAUAAAGCCCACAUCUAACUCCACAUUUUGUUUCUAGUUUUAGGUUGGGGUGACCGCGGAGAAAAAACUAACCUCCACGCUGAAAGAGGUUUUCCUCUAAACGAAAAGCUACAUCUUUAUGUAUUAAUAUAUUAACCUUAAUUGACCCAAUUAAUUGACCAACGAACCAAGUUACCCUAGGGAUAACAGCGCAAUCCAUUUCAAGAGCUCUUAUCGACAAAUGGGUUUACGACCUCGAUGUUGGAUCAGGGUGUCCCAGUGGUGCAGCCGCUACUAAUGGUUCGUUUGUUCAACGAUUAAAACCCU